CGUGUAGGCGGCUUGACAAGUCAGAUGUGAAACUCCCUGGGCUUAACCCGAGGAAGUGCAUUUGAAACUGUUUGGCUGGAGUAAGGGAGAGGAAAGUGGAAUUCCUGGUGUAGAGGUGAAAUUCGUAGAUAUCAGGAGGAACACCGGUGGCGAAGGCGACUUUCUGGCCCUAUACUGACGCUGAGACGCGAAAGCGUGGGUAGCAAACA
rnacentral:rRNA from 1 species